AUGGCGUCCUCCUGCGCAAGCCUCCGGCCGGUCGAACAGCGCGCGUCGUCCUUCGCACGCGCCUUGGGCCGCUUCCACCUCCUUUCCGGCCCCUUCGUCAUCGCGCCGACGGGCAGCACAGGCCUGACGAUCUCGCUCCGCUACGGCGACGAAGGCGCCGAGUUCGUCCACGCUAAUCGAACUCCUCGUGCGCGCCUUGCACCGCUUCCACCCCUUGCCGGCCGCUUCGCCGUCACGCCGGCGGGCAACGCGAGCCUGGCGAUCUCGCUCCGCUGCGGCAAUGAAAGGCGCCGAGUUCGUCCAAGCCAAUCAGGACAAGGCCGCCGGCAGCGGAGUAGCCCAAACCAAAGGAACAGGAAGCAAACAUGUACUUAUAGGCAACUAAAAGAAGAGAAAAAAUAA
rnacentral:rRNA from 1 species